rfam:Clostridium chauvoei JF4335, WGS project CBML01000000 data, contig: 00004
CCGUGCUAGAUGGGGAGUUAGCGGUGCCCUGUAACCUGCAAUCCGCUAUAGCAGGAUUGAAUUCCUGGCAUAGGCUUUAAUUUGUAGGGUCUGCCCUAUGUAAGUGGUGUUGAUGGUCGGGUCCCAUGCGACGUAAGUGCAUGAACCUCGUCAGGUCUGGAAGGAAGCAGCGAUAAGUGAUUACUGCGUGUGACAUGGAUAAAUCUUACCAGAGCUAACUGCAUAGGUAACGCCUACAGAUUACUGCCAAAGCCAGGUGCGCGG